UGGGGAAUAUUGCACAAUGGGCGCAAGCCUGAUGCAGCCAUGCCGCGUGUAUGAAGAAGGCCUUCGGGUUGUAAAGUACUUUCAGCGGGGAGGAAGGUGUUGUGGUUAAUAACCUCAGCAAUUGACGUUACCCGCAGAAGAAGCACCGGCUAACUCCGUGCCAGCAGCCGCGGUAAUACGGAGGGUGCAAGCGUUAAUCGGAAUUACGGGGCGUAAAGCGCACGCAGGCGGUCUGUCAAGUCGGAUGUGAAAUCCCCGGGCUCAACCUGGGAACUGCAUCCGAAACUGGCAGGCUUGAGUCUUGUAGAGGGGGGUAGAAUUCCAGGUGUAGCGGUGAAAUGCGUAGAGAUCUGGAGGAAUACCGGUGGCGAAGGCGGCCCCCUGGACAAAGACUGACGCUCAGGUGCGAAAGCGUGGGGAGCAAACA
rnacentral:rRNA from 1 species